AAAGGGUCCGUAGGCGGUUUAGUAAGUCAGUGGUGAAAGCCCAUCGCUCAACGAUGGAACGGCCAUUGAUACUGCUAGACUUGAAUUACUAGGAAGUAACUAGAAUAUGUAGUGUAGCGGUGAAAUGCUUAGAUAUUACAUGGAAUACCAAUUGCGAAGGCAGGUUACUACUAGUGGAUUGACGCUGAUGGACGAAAGCGUGGGGAGCGAACAGGAUUAGAUACCCGAGU
rnacentral:rRNA from 1 species